rnacentral:lncRNA from 1 species
AUAGGGGUAUAUCAGGGCACAUACAGCUGGGUGAGCGGGUGAGCGGAGCGGAUGGGGGGUGGGAGUGGGCGGUGCGGCUCCAUGGGGCCGGGUGGCCGCGGAAGGCGGAGGAGAGGAAGGCGGAGGAGAGGAAGGCGGUCAUCGGAGACUAACUAGGUCGAAGGUCCAAUCGGAGGGGAAAGGGGGCCCCCAGGUCGUCUAGAAAAGCACUCAAGACUGAAUGAUGCUAUUCGCGUCCCACCACCUCCCGGGAAUAUCC